CGGGGGGGGCAAGCGUUGUUCGGAAUUACUGGGCGUAAAGGGCUUGUAGGCGGCCAACUAAGUCCGACGUGAAAUCCCCAGGCUUAACCUGGGAACUGCGUCGGAUACUGGAUGGCUUGAAUCCGGGAGAGGGAUGCGGAAUUCCAGGUGUAGCGGUGAAAUGCGUAGAUAUCUGGAGGAACACCGGUGGCGAAGGCGGCAUCCUGGACCGGCAUUGACGCUGAAAAGCGAAAGCCAGGGGAGCAAACGGGAUUAGAUACCCCGGUAGUCCUGGCCCUAAACGAUGAAUGUUUGGUGUGGCGGGUAUCGAUCCCUGCCGUGCCGAAGCUAACGCAUUAAACAUUCCGCCUGGGGAGUACGGUCGCAAGGCUG
rnacentral:rRNA from 1 species